UACGUAGGGUCCGAGCGUUGUCCGGAAUUAUUGGGCGUAAAGGGCUCGUAGGCGGUUUGUCGCGUCGGGAGUGAAAUCUUACAGCUUAACUGUGAACUUGCUUCCGAUACGGGCAGACUUGAGGCAUUCAGGGGAGAACGGAAUUCCUGGUGUAGCGGUGAAAUGCGCAGAUAUCAGGAGGAACACCAAUAGCGAAGGCAGCUCGCUGGGACGGUACUGACGCUAAGGCGCGAAAGCGUGGGGAGCGAACAGG
rnacentral:rRNA from 1 species